GUGCCAAUCACGUAUGCACUCUGGUACAAAGCCUGCAGGUACUUCCUUUCACACACUAGCGAGAACUGUGGACCAACAACAGCAAGAUAAAUCAGGUUAAAUGAAAUGUUCCCGGCAGGCAGGAGACGCCCCUCACUGACCUCCGAGGUGAGAGUGUUGCUGAAGACGGAGGUAUCGAAGUCCCACUCAGUGCACUCUUCCUCCACCUCUGCCCUGGCCUCCGUCAUCCUCGUGUAACUGCAGGAGUCUCUGGUUGUAGGGAAAUGUUUCUCAAUACAGUGGCAGAGGCAAACACGUGUAUUUCUUUAUGAAAUAAAAAGCUAUAACAGUCA